rnacentral:misc_RNA from 1 species
UCUUUAACAUCUCCCGCUCUGAAAUCAAUGAGGUGCAAAGUCGUGUCCUUUUUAUUCAAUUUUUCUGGAUAUGGUAUGGAUUGCACUUGCUUCUUUAUCUGAAGUAGUUUGGACAAGCUGACAGACUUGCUUUCUUCUUCAACACUCUUCAAAUUUAAUUCAAACUGUAAAACAAAAGUUUCUAUUUCUUUCUGUUUUUGGUCGAGUUUGUCUUCGUUUUGAAAUUUUAGUAACUUACACUGCCGUAUCAAAUCGUCUGAUAUUUUCUGCAAACUCUUCACAACUGUUUCAGUGUGUGACGUAAUUCUAUCCAUUUUUUCCAAAUAAAUUUUCUCAUAGUCAUUUUUCAACGUCUUGACUUUCUCGACUUCCGCCUGCAGUAGUGGAACUCUCUUGUGUCUGACAUGGUGACACAGUUCUGCGAGCUCCGAUUUGACACGCUCUUGUAUCGUAUUCCUCCUUCCCCAGUCAUGAGACGUGUGGUUCUGCUGGCCACAGAUCAGACAAAUAGAUUCCUCACAGUCCACACAGAACAUAUCCUGCAGGUCCCCAUGGUCUUUACACGUCCUUAGUGGAACCUGAGCGCGAGCUACCGCUUCAUUAGACAUCAGGCUCUCUCCGUAUAGAACCCAAGUCUCUAUUUUUGCCCAUUGGUGUGGAAUUGUGAGAGAGUUCAAUAGAUUUCCUGUUAAAUCAUCGUGUUUUUGUGUGUGCUUUGGAAACACUUCCAAAAGCGAGAUUUACUGGAAACAAGGAAGCAUAUUUGUGUACAGGAAAUCCAAUCAAACAGAUUGGUUUCCUCUUAGGGGUCACAAACAAAAUACCAACAUACAAAUAAAGUCUCAUGUACAGAGGCUGAGCUAUAGGACUUCAGACUUGCAGGGUAUUAUACUGUUAUAUUGAAACUUUAUAUUGCCAUUGACGUUUUACUUUAAAAAAUAGUUGAUAGUGUAAAUAUGUUGGGUGCAUAUGAAUUUAUGAUAUUCCAAUUUAAAAAUAAAUCUUAUGAUAAUUCUCAUAGAUAUGAAAAUUAGUAAAUUCAAAGUUGAAUUUUUGCAUUAAAUGGUAUGUUUGAACUUUUGAGAAGAUUAUAACUGAUAUUGUUUCACUCUGAGGUUAUGAUUUUUAAUAAGAUGGCGUUUUUUAGAACUUCUAGCAGGGAAUUGAGCCAAUUUCUUGUUAAAGACAUUUGUUUUAAUUAAUUUGUUUAUUUCUUGCUAUAGUGAAAAAAACUUUUCUCGUAUUUAUAUUUUGACUUUUGUUCAAUUUUUCUCAGUUUGACGUUUACCAACGACUCGUACCGACUAUAUAUGACGUCAUCUGACGGAACAAUCACCGUGUGGGAGUCGCCUCCCUUUGGUCGCAUCAGACCCAACAAUCUUCUACUUCACGUGUAACUGAGAUUUUGUUCUCUGGACAUAAAGUAACUGAGACUUUGAUCUCUGGACAUAGUGAUUUUAUUUGACACAAACCCUUAUUGUCACUCUUAAUUUUCAAGAGAGUUAAAAUGUCCAGAAAGUCCUGUUAUUGGCAGCUGACAUUCCAUUUAUGAACAUUUGAAUAGAAUGUAGAUGUGUAGGAUAUAUUUUUGAUAUUUUUCGAAAAAUCAACAAACAUUGUGAUCUAAUCACAUGUUUAUUCAUAUGUACAUAAGCAUGUUUUAUAAGACUGUAAAUAUGUGAUUCUAUCUGUAAGAGCGUUAAUGAAUUCAGCUUAUUAUUUUUAGAAGUGAAGGCAUCCACAAUCUAGAUGACCACGAUUUUUUAAUGUACAUUCCCUAAUCUAUAUUUGUGCCAUAUGUAUUGUAUAAUUUGUUUAUUGUUAUUGUAUAUCUAUUAUAAGAUUUAUUAAAGUCGAAGUUCAUAUGUUUGUAUUUCAAAUCAUUUUAUGCAAUCUUUCCAUGUUUUAACGUUGGUCUGCUCAAUUGUAUAAACUUUUUUAUUUGCUUAAUAUCAAGAUGUGUUUUUUCAAUGUUAUUGUUUUUAUCCUCUAGUAUUGACAAUUUGAAAAUAAAAGGAAAAUAUGCUC